rnacentral:rRNA from 1 species
AGGGAAUCUUCCACAAUGGACGGAAGUCUGAUGGAGCAACGCCGCGUGAGUGAUGAAGGUUUUCGGAUCGUAAAACUCUGUUGUAAGGGAAGAACCAGUACGUCAGGCAAUGGACGUACCUUGACGGUACCUUAUUAGAAAGCCACGGCUAACUACGUGCCAGCAGCCGCGGUAAUACGUAGGUGGCAAGCGUUGUCCGGAAUUAUUGGGCGUAAAGCGCGCGCAGGUGGUUUCUUAAGUCUGAUGUGAAAGCCCACGGCUUAAACAUAGUUGGCAUUUGAAACUGUAUUACUUGAGUGCAGGAGAGGUAAGUGGAAUUCCUAGUGUAGCGGUGAAAUGCGUAGAUAUUAGGAGGAACACCAGUGGCGAAGGCGACUUACUGGACUGUAACUGACGCUGAGUCACGAAAGCGUGGGUAGCAAACA